GGAGCUCCGUGCCGCCUGUACUCCCGCCUUCAUUUCCCAUCGUGCUGAGGCGGGUGGCAUGGCGGAGAAGGAUGACACCGGAGUUUGACGAAGAGGUGGUUUUUGAGACAUUAAAACUACCACUACUAUGGAAGUACCACUACUAGAUGGAAGUUUGACCUGGACAUGGUGGCUCACACUUGUAAUCCCAGCACUUUGAGAGGCCAAGAAUUCUCCACUUUACCAAUACUUACAGGAUCUGGGACACACAGACUUUGAAAUAUGUUCUUCUUUGUCACCAAAAACAGAAAAAUGCACAACAGAGGGACAACAAAAGCCUCCUACAAGAGUCCUACCAAAACAAGGUAUCCUGUUAAAAGUGGCUGAAACCAUCAAAAGUUGGAUUUUUUUUUCUCAGUGCAAUAAGAAAGAUGACUUACUUCACAAGUUGGAUAUUGGAUUCCGACUCGACUCAUUACAUACCAUCCUGCAACAGGAAGUCCUGUUACAAGAGGAUGUGGAGCUGAUUGAGCUACUUGAUCCCAGUAUCCUGUCUGCAGGGCAAUCUCAACAACAGGAAAAUGGACACCUUCCAACACUUUGCUCCCUGGCAACCCCUAAUAUUUGGGAUCUCUCAAUGCUAUUUGCCUUCAUUAGCUUGCUCGUUAUGCUUCCCACUUGGUGGAUUGUGUCUUCCUGGCUGGUAUGGGGAGUGAUUCUAUUUGUGUAUCUGGUCAUAAGAGCUUUGAGAUUAU
rnacentral:lncRNA from 10 species